UACGAGGGGCGAGCGUUGCUCGGAAUGACUGGGCGUAAAGGGCGCGUAGGCGGAUGGCUUUGUCGGGCGUGAAAUCCCUGGGCUCAACCCAGGAACUGCACUCGAAACUACUAUUCUUGAGUGUCGGAGAGGAAAGCGGAAUUCCUGGUGUAGAGGUGAAAUUCGUAGAUAUCAGGAGGAACACCAGUGGCGAAGGCGGCUUGCCCAGAACGCGCUCGAACGGGUGAGGGAUGGAAAGCUGGGGGAGCAAACCGG
rnacentral:rRNA from 1 species